CAGCCGCCGCGGUAAUACAGAGGGUGCGAGCGUUAAUCGGAUUUACUGGGCGUAAAGCGUGCGUAGGCGGCUUUUUAAGUCGGAUGUGAAAUCCCUGAGCUUAACUUAGGAAUUGCAUUCGAUACUGGGAAGCUAGAGUAUGGGAGAGGAUGGUAGAAUUUCAGGUGUAGCGGUGAAAUGCGUAGAGAUCUGGAGGAAUACCGAUGGCGAAGGCAGCCAUCUGGCCUAAUACUGACGCUGAGGUACGAAAGCAUGGGGAGCAAACAGGAUUAGAUACCCCAGUAGUCCCUGUCUCUUAUAC
rnacentral:rRNA from 1 species